GACGCCAUGACAGAGAGGUCAGAGGGUCAGGACGCUGCCUCUCGCCGCAGGCAGCGGUCUGAGCGUGGCAGGACCGCCGCGGGGACGCUGGCGAGAACCCGGCGUCCGGAGGGUGCGAGGUAGUCAUCGUUACAAAGCCGGGUUCAGUGCUGGCGAGCCCCAUUUUAAGCAGCCGAGAGGGCGAGAGUGCUCGGUGGUAAUGUCCUGGAAUAGCGUUGUGAAUCUCGUAGCAGAGCACGGUUAGAUAGAUUUACUCUGCGAGUAAAAUGCGGAGUUGUGGUUUACAGUCUGAUACGUGGUGGUAUCCGCCUUAAUCCCAGCACUGGCUGAGAUGGAAGGACAGAGGACCCCUUCGCUGCAGUUAGGUCCAGUCUCCAUCUGGGGAUGGGGAUUCAUAAUCAAACUCAUCCAGACAGGCAUCCACUAUGUGAAGUCCACGCUGUAAAACCCAAGGCUAGGGAAAAAUCAACCUCAGAGUCUUCCCCAUUUCGCAGUUUGGUACUUUGUCUACUCCGUAGCAAUGAAGAGUCAGAGAGAGAAGGAAAACAUGACAGCCCAUUUUGUUUGUUCUUUCGAAAAGUGUUUAUUCAGUCCCUAGUUCCCCGUACCUGGACCGUAGAAAGCAAAAGUUCCGCACGGGAAGUCAGCGAUGUUUCUACCCACAAAAGCCUGCAACUUCUGUGAGCUCCAAGGGAACAAGAGAAGUGAAUUCCAACAGGUGUAUGUGACUGUCUUCAUGGAUGGAUGCACACCAUAUGUGGACACUGUCUUUGGAGGUCAAAAAAAGUCCCUUAGAAUGGAGAUACAGACAGGUGGAACCAAACCCAGGCCCUUUGCAAGAGCAGCAAGUGCUCUAACCACUGAGGCAUCUUUCCAGCCCCUUUAUUUUUCAGGUUUGUUUUUGAUUUGUGUGUUUAUUUGUUUGUUUUGAGUCAGGGUCUCUCUACAUAGCCUUGGCUGUCUGGAACUCACCAAGAUCCACUGGCCUCUGCCUCCUGAGUGCUGGUGUUAACAGGCGUGUGCCAUCGCACCUGGCUCUAGGUUCCUUUGCUUUAAAACUUCCCAACUGAUCUCCACAGCAACUGCACUAAUUUAUGUUCCAACAGGAUAAGGGUCUCUAACCUAUCCACCCAUCCUACAACAGCAUUUGUUUUUAGUGUGUGCUUGUUCUCACAAUCAUGCUGAUGCAUAUAUGCCACAGUACAUCUGUAAAGGUCAGAAAACAAAUGUACUGUGGAGUACAUUUGGAGGAGUCGGUUCUUCUUUCCAGAGAUGGUAGUCAGAGGUACUGACAAGUUCCUUUACCAUCUCACCCCAUUUGUUGUUUCCUUAAUAAUACUUAUUUUACUAGAGAGAGAUGGAGUCUCAAGCUUUGAUUUUUAUCUCCCUGACAAGUAAAGACAUUUGAACAAUUUUUCAUAUAUUUAUUGGCCAUUUGUACUUCUUUUGAAAAAAAAUUUUUUUUUUUAUUUUUUAAGACAGGGUUUCUCUGUGUAGCCUUGGCUGUCCUGGACUUGCUUCAUAAAACAGGCUGGCCUCAAACUCACAGAGUGCUGGGAUUACUGGCAUGCACCACUGCACCCAGCCAUUUUUCUUGUUUAUUGAUUGGGUGAGUUUUCUUCGUUUGGGGGGUGGGCAAUUUUGUUUUGGGUUAGGUUUAGUUCUUUAUAGAUUCUAGCUAUUAUCUAUGAAAUAUAUAUAUCCUGAAAUGAUUUUUUUCGAUUCUACAGGUUGUCCCUUCCCUUAUAAUUGUUUCCUCUGUUGUUUUAAUUUCAUUUGUCAAUUUGUGCUAUUUUCUGGGUUAUUGGAAUCCUUUCAGAAAGCCCUAUAUCUCUAUAUCUCAAAAUCUUUUCAGAGUCUCAGGUCUUACAUUUAGGUCUUUGAAAAUAUAAAAAUAAAAUAAAGAGCCAGGCAUAAUGGUUCAUGUCUUUACUUCCAGCAUUCAGAAGGUAAAGAAGGUGUAUCUCUGUGAGUCAGCCAGGACUACUUAGUGAGACCCUGUCUCAGAAAAAAAUAAUGAUAAUAAUGAUUGUUAAAUCAAGGUCUUCAAUCUGUUUUGAAUAAACUUUAGUACAGACUGAGAAGCUUAUCUAGUUCUAGUCUUCUGCCUGUGGAUAACAGUUUUCCCAGCAGCACUGUUGAAGAGCCUGCCUUUUCUCUAAUGCAUAUUUUUGAUACCUUUGUCAAAAAUCAGGUAGCUACAUUCGGUGGUUUUAUUUUUAGGUCCUCUAUUUUAUUCCACUGGUCUGCAUGUCUAUUUUAUUUCAUGUGUAUGGGUGUUUUGUUUACAUGUUUGUUCUAUGUACCCCCUUUAUUUCACUGAAGCACAUUGGCAUAAAUUCUGAUGAGGAUGUGUAGGUGAAUCUUAAAAAUACUUAACCAUGUGAAAAUGUCUUUAUUUGUUUGUUUUAUGGUUUGAAACCAGGGCUUCACACAUAAUAGUAAGUACUCUACCUUAGAACUAUAUCCCAGAUCCUAGUUUAAAACACUCAGAAAUAAUAACCACCUUAGCUGGGUAUAAAAGUGUAUGUUUUAGGACUGGAAAGAUGGUUUAGUUGUUAAGAGCACUGCCCUUCUUCCAGAGAACCCAUGUUUAAGUCCCGGUACCCACAUAUAGGUUCACAACAGUCUGUAACUCCAGUUCCAAGGAAUCAAUCCAACACCCUUUUCUGGCCUCUUUGGGCACCAGGCACACAUAUAGUACACAUACACACACACACACACAUACAUACAUACAUACUUCAUACAGGCAAAACACUCAUACCCAUAUUUAUUUAUUGGUUGGUUGGUUGGUUGGUUGGUUGGUUGGUUGGUUUUUCAAAAUAGAGCUUCUCUGUGUCACCUUGGCUGUCCUGGAACUUGCUCUGUAGGCCAGACUGGCCUCAGCCUCAGAGAUCCACUUGUGUCUGCCUCCCAAGUCCUAGAAUUAGAGGUAUGCUAUCUCUGCCUGAAAUAAAUAAUUUUUAUGUCAGAAUGAGAAAAAUCAAUAAAAUCAGUAAAAAUAAUGGUAGGCUGAAAGAAUAGAUCCUUUUCUCUGAGAAUUUUUUGAACUCAUCAGAAAUGCUGCCUACUGCAAUCUGUCUCAUCUCACUGAAAAUGUUUACCUACGGAAAUGGGGAAGAUGUCCUUGAAGAUCUACUACUUUUUCUAUGUGUUCAUUUCAGAAAACACUUCCCCUCAGCUGAGCAUGGUGGCACAUGCCUGUGACCCCAGCACUUGAAGGUGGAACACAGAAGUCCAAAGUUCUCCUCAGUAACAUGUAAAGUGAGUUGGAGGCCAGGAUGGACUAUCUGAAAGCCUAUCUCAAAAAAUUAAAAAAAAAAUCUGGCUGGAGAGAUGGCUCAGAGGUUAAGAAUGCUGGCUGUUCUUCCAAAGGUUCAGAGUUCAAUUCCCAGCAACCACAUGGUGGCCACAUGUGAGUCUAUAGUGAGAUCUGAUGCACAGGCAGAAUGAUCUGUAAAUAAUAAAUAAAUGAUAGUUGUUAAAAUUAAAAAAAGAAGAAGAAGAAACUUUAAAAAAA